AGAUUGAACGCUGGCGGUAUGCUUUACACAUGCAAGUCGAACGGUAACAGGCCGCAAGGUGCUGACGAGUGGCGAACGGGUGAGUAAUGCAUCGGAACGUGCCCAGUCGUGGGGGAUAACGCAGCGAAAGCUGUGCUAAUACCGCAUACGAUCUAUGGAUGAAAGCGGGGACCGAAAGGCCUCGCGCGAUUGGAGCGGCCGAUGUCAGAUUAGCUAGUUGGUGGGGUAAAGGCCCACCAAGGCGACGAUCUGUAGCUGGUCUGAGAGGACGACCAGCCACACUGGAACUGAGACACGGUCCAGACUCCUACGGGAGCAGCAGUGGGGAAUUUGGACAA
rnacentral:rRNA from 1 species